rnacentral:tRNA from 1 species
GCGCACGUGGCGGAAUUGGUAGACGCGCUAGCUUGAGGGGUUAGUAAUUGCUUAAAUUGUGGAAGUUCGAAUCUUCUCGUGCGCACAA